rnacentral:rRNA from 1 species
GUGUCAGCAGCCGCGGUAAUACGGAGGUUGCAAGCGUUGUUCGGAAUGACUGGGCGUAAAGGGAGCGCAGGCGGUCCGACAAGUCCGGCGUGAAAGCCCGGGGCUCAACCCCGGCACGCCGUCGGAAACUGUCGGACUCGGGUACGGAAGAGGAGAGUGGAAUUCCGGGUGUAGCGGUGAAAUGCGUAGAUAUCCGGAGGAACACCGGUGGCGAAAGCGGCUCUCUGGUCCGAUACCGACGCUCAGGCUCGAAAGCGUGGGGAGCAAACGGGAUUAGAUACCCCGGUAGUCCACGCCGUAAACGUUGUGCGCUAGGUGUGGGAGGUAUCGACCCCUCCCGUGCCGCAGCUAACGCAUUAAGCGCACCGCCUGGGGAGUACGCCCGCAAGGGUGAA